UAAAUAUAUAUCAGUUCUGGUAAAAUGUGAAGUAACUAAGAAUUAACUGCAUCACCAUAUGCCUGUUCUUUUUUUACACGGCAUCCUGCCUCUCCUAGUACAACUUUUGCUUUCUGCUGUGUCUGAAUUUCCUGUUCCAUAUAGCAAGUCCACCGCAGGAAGCCAGGUAUUCGAUAUUGCAUAGUUGGAGGGUAUCACAACAGCCUCAUCUAGUUCCAUCUUUUUGCCCUCAGAACACAGAAGUCUGAUGUCUUUCAGCUUACAACACCCACUUACAGCCAAACUGAGAGGAGGAACACCAGUCAGAGGUCGCAGGGAACACACUCUCAGCCUUGAGGAAGAAAUGAAUUUAUACAAAAUGGUCACGUCUAACAAAACAGUGCUCAGAAGAGGACAAGAAUGUCAAGCACUUCUAUAAAGCAGCUAAGAAACAUUGGCAAGGAGUGGUUUGCUGAGAGACAUCACUUUGCUAUUUUGCUGCUACAAUUCUUAUAGCUUACUCCAAAGGGAACUAAUAUGCACAGGAUUCACACGGUCUUCACAUGUACUCAAAAUUAAAAAAGGAAAAUGAAGGCCAUUCCUGAGUCUGCAGACAGCCUUUGCAAGUGUUUCCUUUUCUUCUCACAGAUUUCCUACAGACCAAAGCCACGGACUGUUCCCAUUCAAUGCUAAUUUUCCAACCCAUUAAACAGGAGAGAAAGCUGAAACUGUUUCAUUAAAUGGAAAGAAUACUGCAACUAUUUAGUGAGAAGAAAACUCUGAAACAAAAGAAAUAUUAGAAGACUAGGGAUGUAAUUAUGUUUUUGUAAGGAACAGAAGGAAUCUGGAAGGAUAAAGUAACAACCCUCUCACUCUCCCAGUAAUUAGAGCGUUAAGAGUCAGGAAGGGAAAAUCAAGAAGCUGGGAACAGAGAGGGCAAACCUUGAUGCAAUAUGUACUUUGGCAGCAUCUUUUGAAAGUGGCUACAGGAGCAUAUGAAGCAUUCGUGCUGUCUACCGCUUAGAAUUUGGCAAAUAACUCCUAUUUGCAGGCAUUUAGGAAUAAAAAAACAUUAUUAGAAA